rnacentral:lncRNA from 1 species
GUAGAAACUAAAAAUGGGGUCGGAGACAGAAAGUCCAUACGUUCCUGGCCACCACGGUGUCACUGCUCCCAAUACAGGUGUAACCUGAGUCCCCACUUGGGAGCCAGAAAUCAGCUGAGAAGAGACUUCAGGAGAGAGCAGCCCCAGGCGGAGGUGGAGGAAGUGGGGGGCCUCAGCUCCGCUCACCCCAUCUAGCUCGGUUUGCACUGAAGGGUUUGGCCUCCCAUCCUGAUGCCCAGGGUCAGGACCUACAUUCAGGGGACAAGGAGGACCCAGGCCUUUCCUGAGACUUGCAAGCCAUACAAGGACCCUAACAAGCUCAGUCCCGCUUCAGGGUCUCAUCCUCCCUCCUGUACCGGAGUUAGCCCGGGCAAUGGAGUCCGAGUCAAGGAGGGAGGAAAUUUCAUAUUAGAGUUGUUAGAUACUGCAGUAUUCCCUGCCAGCCCACUCAGUGAGGAAAGUCUGUGGACGUACCUCUGGAUUGGGGUCAGAGGAACCAAGACGGUGUCUACUAAGGUAGGUUUUAUGUCACCGACUGGGAAACACAGAGGGCCACAUGAUAGGCUGGGUGUGGUGGCUCAUGUUUGCAGUCCUAGCAGUGGGGAGGCUGAGA